rnacentral:lncRNA from 1 species
AUAUCUAUCAAUCAAGAAAGACACAAUACCUGUGCAAAGUUCAAGAAAAAUAGUUGUUUGUGAUUUAGGUCAAGUCCAGGAAGUAAUUUUUCUUCGCCAUUCUCUCUGGCUCUCUAAAAUGGGGAUUAAGUAUUUUCUCUCUAUUGUUCUCUACUUUCUUUCCACUUGUGAAUGAAAUUUGUCAUAGAUUGAACUAUCACCUCUUUACAACAAAAUGGUGAAAAUUGAAUUAAGAAGUAGAAAUUAUUGAUAUGAGUAAGUCUCUAUAUAACAAAACAAGUUCUUUUUUUAACAUAACAACAUAAAAUGACCAAUCCCGUGAGAAAGUGUAUGCAGUCUAAUUUGGAGUAUUUGUAUGUCUAUGUGUGUGUAUGGAGGGAGGGGCUCACUUACGUGGCACAUAUUACUCUAUA